GGCUCCCAUAGGAGUCCGGAUGAAGUCUACCUGCAGUUGAAGUUGGGGACGAAGUCUGGCUCCCGUAGGAGUUCGGAUGAAGUCUAGAAGGUGGUCGACCACCAUCGAAACUUGGGUGGAGUCCGCCCGUCGUGGAAAAUCUGGCCUACACCGGUGGCAGUUUAUCCAUCGGCAGAACUUGGGAACGUUGCGGAGGCUCAGCCGUCGGAGAGGUUCAAGAAGAUGUCACCG
rnacentral:lncRNA from 1 species